GCCUACAGCCAUACUGUCCUGCCAGCGUCCAAACCUGUCCGAUCUCGGAAGCUAAGCAGGAUCGGGCCUGGUUAGUACUUGAAUGGGAGACCGCCUGGGAAUACCAGGUGCUAUAGACU
rnacentral:rRNA from 1 species